GCCCGGCUGGCGCAAUCGGCUAGCGCAUAUGACUUCUACCUGUAUCUAACGGUAUAAUCGUGUCCACCGGUCAUGAGCGGUGAUCAUAAGGUUCGGGGUUCGAGUCCCCGGUUGGGUU